ACCGCGAUAGCUCAGCUGGUAGACAUCUGCCGGUAAUGCGGAGGGUCGCCGGUUCGAUUCCGGCUCGCGGCG
rnacentral:tRNA from 1 species